rnacentral:rRNA from 1 species
GACGAACGCUGGCGGCAUGCUUAACACAUGCAAGUCGAACGGAAAGGCCCUGCUUUUGUGGGGUGCUCGAGUGGCGAACGGGUGAGUAACACGUGAGUAACCUGCCCUUGACUUUGGGAUAACUUCAGGAAACUGGGGCUAAUACCGGAUAGGAGCUCCUGCUGCAUGGUGGGGGUUGGAAAGUUUCGGCGGUUGGGGAUGGACUCGCGGCUUAUCAGCUUGUUGGUGGGGUAGUGGCUUACCAAGGCUUUGACGGGUAGCCGGCCUGAGAGGGUGACCGGCCACAUUGGGACUGAGAUACGGCCCAGACUCCUACGGGAGGCAGCAGUGGGGAAUAUUGCGCAAUGGGCGGAAGCCUGAUGCAGCAACGCCGCGUGCGGGAUGACGGCCUUCGGGUUGUAAACCGCUUUCGCCUGUGACGAAGCGUGAGUGACGGUAAUGGGUAAAGAAGCACCGGCUAACUACGUG